GCGGAAACGAUUCUAGUUUACUAGAAGGCGUCGAGCGGCGGACGGGUGAGUAAUGCUUGGGAAUAUGCCUUUAGGUGGGGGACAACAGUUGGAAACGACUGCUAAUACCGCAUAAUGUCUACGGACCAAAGGAGGGGAUCUUCGGACCUUUCGCCUUUAGAUUAGCCCAAGUGAGAUUAGCUAGAUGGUGGGGUAAUGGCCUACCAUGGCGACGAUCUCUAGCUGGUUUGAGAGGAUGAUCAGCCACACUGGGACUGAGACACGGCCCAGACUCCUACGGGAGGCAGCAGUGGGGAAUAUUGCACAAUGGGCGAAAGCCUGAUGCAGCCAUGCCGCGUGUGUGAAGAAGGCCUUCGGGUUGUAAAGCACUUUCAGUAGGGAGGAAAGGGUAGUCGCUAAUAUCGGCUAUCUGUGACGUUACCUACAGAAGAAGCACCGGCUAACUCCGUGCCAGCAGCCGCGGUAAUACGGAGGGUGCGAGCGUUAAUCGGAAUUACUGGGCGUAAAGCGUGCGUAGGCGGAUUGUUAAGCGAGAUGUGAAAGCCCAGGGCUCAACCUUGGAACUGCAUUUCGAACUGGCUGUCUAGAGUAUUGUAGAGGGUGGU
rnacentral:rRNA from 1 species